rnacentral:snRNA from 1 species
GUGCUUGCUUUGGCAGCACAUAUACUAAAAUUGGAAUGAUACAACAAAGAUUGGCAUGGCCCCUGUGCAAGGAUGACAUGCAAAUUCCACCAGUUCCUCUAUUA